rnacentral:rRNA from 1 species
UACAGAGGGUGCAAGCGUUGUUCGGAAUUAUUGGGCGUAAAGGGCAGGUAGGUGGUUCUUUAAGUCGACUGUGAAAUCCCCGAGCUCAACUUGGGAAGUGCGGUCGAAACUGAAGAACUAGAGUGCUAGAGGGGUUCGUGGAAUUCUCGGUGUAGCGGUGAAAUGCGUAGAUAUCGAGAGGAACAUCAGAGGCGAAGGCGACGAACUGGAAAGCAACUGACACUCAACUGCGAAAGCGUGGGGAGCAAACAGG